UACGAAGGGGGCUAGCGUUGCUCGGAAUCACUGGGCGUAAAGGGUGCGUAGGCGGGUCUUUAAGUCAGGGGUGAAAUCCUGGAGCUCAACUCCAGAACUGCCUUUGAUACUGAAGAUCUUGAGUCCGGAAGAGGUAAGUGGAACUGCGAGUGUAGAGGUGAAAUUCGUAGAUAUUCGCAAGAACACCAGUGGCGAAGGCGGCUUACUGGUCCGGAACUGACGCUGAGGUGCGAAAGCGUGGGGAGCAAACAGGG
rnacentral:rRNA from 1 species